AGCGAACGCUGGCGGCAGGCCUAACACAUGCAAGUCGAACGGAGUCUUCGGACUUAGUGGCGGACGGGUGAGUAACACGUGGGAACGUGCCUUUAGGUUCGGAAUAACUCAGGGAAACUUGUGCUAAUACCGAAUGUGCCCUUCGGGGGAAAGAUUUAUCGCCUUUAGAGCGGCCCGCGUCUGAUUAGCUAGUUGGUGAGGUAAAGGCUCACCAAGGCGACGAUCAGUAGCUGGUCUGAGAGGAUGAUCGGCCACAUUGGGACUGAGACACGGCCCAAACUCCUACGGGAGGCAGCAGUGGGGAAUCUUGCGCAAUGGGCGAAAGCCUGACGCAGCCAUGCCGCGUGAAUGAUGAAGGUCUUAGGAUUGUAAAAUUCUUUCACCGGGGACGAUAAUGACGGUACCCGGAGAAGAAGCCCCGGCUAACUUCGUGCCAGCCGCCGCCGUAAGAC
rnacentral:rRNA from 1 species